rnacentral:rRNA from 1 species
GAUGAACGCUGGCGGCGUGCCUAAUACAUGCAAGUCGAGCGAACGGACGAGAAGCUUGCUUUUCUGAUGUUAGCGGCGGACGGGUGAGUAACACGUGGAUAACCUACCUAUAAGACUGGGAUAACUUCGGGAAACCGGAGCUAAUACCGGAUAAUAUUUUGAACCGCAUGGUUCAAAAGUGAAAGACGGUCUUGCUGUCACUUGUAGAUGGAUCUGCGCUGCAUUAGCUAGUUGGUAGGGUCACGGCUUACCAAGGCGACGAUGGGUAGCCGAGCUGAGGGGGGGACCGGCAACAUUGGGACGGAGAUACGGCCCAGACUCCGACGGGAGGCAGCAGUGGGGAAUAUUGCACAAUGGGCGGAAGGCAGAUGCAGCAACGCCGCGUGCGGGAUGACGGCCUUCGGGUUGUAAACCGCUUUCGCCUGUGACGAAGCGUGAGUGACGGUAAUGGGUAAAGAAGCACCGGCUAACUACGUG